GUAGCAAGAGUAUGAGAAGUAUAUUUGUUUUCCAUGCAAAAGGUCCAGGUUUAAAGUUAGGUUGUUACU
rnacentral:tRNA from 2 species